rnacentral:rRNA from 1 species
UACAGAGGUCUCGAGCGUUGUUCGGAUUCAUUGGGCGUAAAGGGUGCGUAGGUGGCGCUGUAAGUCGGGUGUGAAAUCCUGAGGCUUAACCUCGGAACUGCAUUCGAUACUGCGGUGCUUGAGGACUGGAGAGGAGACUGGAAUUCAUGGUGUAGCAGUGAAAUGCGUAGAGAUCAUGAGGAAGACCAGUGGCGAAGGCGGGUCUCUGGACAGUGCCUGACACUGAGGCACGAAGGCCAGGGGAGCAAACGGG